rnacentral:rRNA from 1 species
GACGAACGCUGGCGGCGCGCUUAACACAUGCAAGUCGAACGGAAAGGCCUGCUUUCCCUUGUGGAUUGCGGGUACUCGAGUGGCGAACGGGUGAGUAACACGUGAGUGAUCUGCCCCCAACUUGGGUAUAAGCCUGGGAAACUGGGUCUAAUUCCCGAUAGGACUGCAGGGUGGUGCCUGUGGUGGAAAACGAUUUUCUAGUGGUUGGGGAUGAGCUCGCGGCCUAUCAGCUUGUUGGUGGGGUAAUGGCCUACCAAGGCGGCGACGGGUAGCCGGCCUGAGAGAGUGGACGGGCACAUUGGGACUGGGAUACGGCCCAGACUCCUACGGGAGGCCGCAGUGGGGAAUAUUGCACAAUGGGCGGAAGCCUGAUGCAGCGACGCCGCGUGGGGGAUGACGGCCUUCGGGUUGUAAACUCCUUUCGACCGCGAGGAAGCCACCUGGUUGGAAGGGUGGUGACGGUAGUGGUAGAAGAAGCACCGGCUAACUACGUG